UACGUAGGGUGCGAGCGUUAAUCGGAAUUACUGGGCGUAAAGCGUGCGCAGGCGGUUCGUUGUGUCGGUGGUGAAAUCCCCGGGCUUAACCUGGGAAUGGCCAUGGAAACUGGCGAACUGGAGUGUGGCAGAGGGGGGUGGAAUUCCGCGUGUAGCAGUGAAAUGCGUAGAGAUGCGGAGGAACACCGAUGGUGAAGGCAGCCCCCUGGGCUAGCACUGACGCUCAGGCACGAAAGCGUGGGGAGCAAACAGG
rnacentral:rRNA from 1 species